rnacentral:misc_RNA from 1 species
CCGAGUUUACAACUCCCAAACCCAAUGUGAACGUUACCACACUGUUGCCUCGGCGGGAUCUCUGCCCCGGGUGCGUCGCAGCCCCGGACCAAGGCGCCCGCCGGAGGACCAACCAAAACUCUUAUUGUAUACCCCCUCGCGGGUUUUUUUAUAAUCUGAGCCUUCUCGGCGCCUCUCGUAGGCGUUUCGAAAAUGAAUCA